UACGUAGGGUGCGAGCGUUGUCCGGAAUUACUGGGCGUAAAGGGCUCGUAGGCGGUCUGUCGCGUCGGGAGUGAAAACUCAGGGCUUAACCCUGAGCCUGCUUCCGAUACGGGCAGACUAGAGGUAUGCAGGGGAGAACGGAAUUCCUGGUGUAGCGGUGAAAUGCGCAGAUAUCAGGAGGAACACCUGUGGCGAAGGCGGGUCUCUGGGCCGAUACUGACGCUGAGGCGCGAAAGCGUGGGGAGCAAACAGG
rnacentral:rRNA from 1 species